GAUUACCACAUAAAAAUUAUCUGGUGACUCAGCAGCCAAAAAUGCUCCAGUCUAAGAAGAGCUCUGGGGAGGGAGGCUGUACAGCGCCACUUAGAGCGCGAAGGCCAUUCUUCUCCGAUAGCAGCGGCUGCGAGAGCCUCUCUCCCAAGCUGGUCCACGGGGCUUCACGUUCAUCAGGGCAGAUUCUGCAGCGGACUCUUCACUUGGACUGAAUAGGCAGAGAUUGAUUGGCGGCGAAGGAUUUUUUCCAGGGGACUUUGAAGAUGUUUAUUCUUCUUCUGAGUGGAAAUUUACACAGGCUUGACUGGGCCCCCCAGUGAAAGUGACCCUGGACAGAUAAGCAGAAUUCCAUUGGGAAUUCCGAUCGGUAUGUGUGCUGGGGUGGAGUGGGGAGGGAUACAGCCACUGCUCAGGUCUUCAGAGAUCGGGGAAACACCUAAAGACCUCUACAGGAUCCUUUUGUUAAAGAUCAUGACAAUCUGGAGCCCAUCUUGGCAGUACAGGACACAAAGCAGGAGCACACCAUGAGGAGCAGUGUCAGUGUGGAUUUGUGGCAUGGGCUCGAAAUCCUUCGUUAAAGGGUUGUGGGUUCACAUGAGGUACUGAUUGGCCACCAGCCUGGACACAGCAAUUAAGGGAUCCCAAGAGUUGUGAAGGAGAGGACCCACUUUGUCUGCCAUUGAAAUGCAGCUCCACCUGUGUGAUGUGCAGCAAGCCCAUGUCCCAGCAGAUCAGGGGGAGAAUUGAGAAAUGGCUUCACCACAUGGAUUAAGGGGAAACUAGGGAGGCCAGAUUGUGCAAACCCAGAGUGGAAUUGAGCCAGGAUUAAGGCCUCAACCUGUGCAAAUGCUACCAUGAGAUCUUUAAUGACCAAGUAGUCAUGACCUUUCGGUUAAUGUCUCAUCCUAAGGCUGGCAGCUCCACAGCACAGUCUCACCAGUGACCGUGCUGGGGCAUUGACUUGAAAACUCUGGUCCAGUAGAAAAUCUACAUCCACCACUUGCAGAAGUUACCUGUUCUUCUUUGGAGGUCUCCCAUUCCAGUACUGAUUGGCGCAGCCUUGCUUAGCUUCCAAGAUCUGACAAGAUCCAAUACCAUUUUUGAGGUGGUAAUCCUGUGCCUAGAAUUGCAGUAUGCUCCUGUAUGUGAAAAUAUUUGGGGAGAAAAUGCACAAUGCCACCAAUCCCAUUUAUAGGAAAUAGGACCGGUUUGUAUAUUGAAUUUUUCAGAAUAAAAGCUGAA